AUGAGAUGUCAUGUAGGCUCAAAAUUACCAUAAGCAUACAAGCCAUACAAACCACAUUUGAUAUUCACAUUACAGUUCACAAACAAUCCCAGUAUUUCCUUUUUUUUUUUUUUAAGAUUGAGAUAAUUCACACUUAGAAUUUUUUUUUCUUUUCAAACUACACUCCCCCAAACUUGUUUUUUUUUUUUACUAUAUGUUUAAAGGGAGUGUAGUUUACUUUCAAUUUUUUUUUUUUAUCUCAAUCUUUUUAUUUAUAACACUCCACAAUUCACCCUAUUACAAAACCAAUCCCCAAUCAUCAUUCACUUGUAUGCUCACGGUAAUCAUUCAAGGGAAGGAAAUAUAAUAACAUGUUUAAAGUAAGCUCAAAAUAGGUGUCAAAACAAAGAAUGUAACAUUAGGCUCAAAAAGGACAACUAGGGAUUAAAUUAAUCAAGGUUGGCUUGAAAGGCUCAAUCGUUCCAAAAAAAAAUCGCCUAAAUCAUCUUCCUAAGUAUGCAUUGUCUAUGAUUUCGCCUCAAGUAGCAAGCAAGCAAGUUCUAAGCAUAAUCAUCCAUCUUUCCUUAACCCAAAAUUAAGCAAGCAUAAAUAUCAUCAAAUGCACGAGAUUUAUCUAAAAAUCAUGAUCAAGCUCUCACAUAUUUAGAUAGACCCAAGCAACUCAAAGAAACAUUCGACCAAGCACUACAACAAUUUUGAGUAAAUAUUACGUUAAGAUAUAGCACCUUUUUUAAAGUGUUAUUAAUGAUUUAGCUCUAAAAUAUUUGGGGAGAAAUAUUUAGCGCCAAGUGAAUUAAUGGCGCCUUUACUUUUCAUUUUUUUUAUUAUUUUACACAACACUCUCAUUCUGAAUAUGGGUUCUCUCUAAACGCCUAAAUCCCUUCAUUCUCACCAUUCAUUUCAUCGAUUCUCUCUAGCCUCCACGAGAGAGUGCUCAAACCACACGGCGUCGUUCUCCUCCACCGGCGGUCAGAUUGGUCUACUCCAACAUCACGAAGUCGCUCUCCACCCCAUCGGCUCGACUUAGCAAACAUCAAAGGUGACGGCGCCUGGCGGAGGCAGAGGCAAAGGCGAGGUCACGGGUUCGACGAUGCGUGGGUCUUCUUCUCCUCAGCACACGACGGAGGCGAGAUCUGGCUACACUUUCCUAAUUGCAAAUACUGCAAGGGUGAGAGCCUUCUUUGGAUGCCCAGUUGAUGAACGCAAGGACUUUCUGCUGCAGAUGAUGUAUAGUCCUCAGGACUGUUGAGGUACUUUGUAAAAUUGCAGAUAAGUGAGUCUAGGCUUCAAAAGUGAUGUUAAUUUAACAUACCAUAGUUGCAGCAAGAAUAAAAAAUAAUAAUAAUUCAGUGUAACAAACAUUUAUAGUUUUUUCAGAUGACUGUGUUCGGUUGUUUUGAUUAUCAAGUUAAUAGAUAGAAUCAUUUUCUA